rnacentral:rRNA from 1 species
GACGAACGCUGGCGGCGUGCUUAACACAUGCAAGUCGAACGGAAAGGCCCUGCUUUUGUGGGGUGCUCGAGUGGCGAACGGGUGAGUAACACGUGAGUAACCUGCCCUUGACUUUGGGAUAACUUCAGGAAACUGGGGCUAAUACCGGAUAGGAGCUCCUGCUGCAUGGUGGGGGUUGGAAAGUUUCGGCGGUUGGGGAUGGACUCGCGGCUUAUCAGCUUGUUGGUGGGGUAGUGGCUUACCAAGGCUUUGACGGGUAGCCGGCCUGAGAGGGUGACCGGCCCCAUUGGGCCUGGGGUGCGCCCCGGACCCCUUCGGGGGGCAGGGGGGGGGAUUUUGCCCCAAUGGGCGGAGCCCUGGUGCAGCACCCCCGGGGGCGGGAUGACGGCCUUCGGUUUGUAACCCCCUUUCCCCUGUACCGAGGGGUGGGGACCGGUAAUGGUUAAAAAGGCCCCGGCAACCUCCUG